rnacentral:rRNA from 1 species
ACAUAGGAUCCGAGGUUGCAGAAAAUAGAGGAUCCCGUCCGCUCUCCUGGACUCAAGCUGCAAACCGGUAGAUUAGUACUGCAGUGGGUGACCAUGUGGGAAUACCUACUGUUCUAUGUU